rnacentral:rRNA from 1 species
AUACGGAGGGAGCAAGCGUUAUUCGGAAUCACUGGGCGUAAAGGACGCGUAGGCGGGUUUGUAAGUCAGGUGUGAAAUCCUACAGCUCAACUGUAGAACUGCACUUGAAACUACAGACCUAGAGUAUGGAAGGGGCAGAUGGAAUUAGUGGUAUAGGGGUAAAAUCCGUAGAUAUCACUAGGAAUACCGAAAGCGAAGGCGAUCUGCUGGGACAUUACUGACGCUGAGGCGUGAAAGCGUGGGGAGCAAACAGGAUUAGAAACCCUGGUAGUCC